GCCCUAACGUGUCGGGGUAGGUCAAUUGGUCCAUAUACUUGAUAUCGUCGAUGAUCCCAUCCCUCUACAGCAAGAGUAUCUACAACCUGGUUCCCUUCUCUAUAGAUAUGCGAAACAGUGUACCUAUCGAAGGAUAUGAUGUUUGUAGUCGAUUUGAGUGUGCCCCGAAUAGCUAAUGGUUCUCCGCCUCUAGUGAUGUAGUGGAUGGCUGUGGUAGAAUUUGACUCAAUUCAAAUGGUUGAAAGUCCAAGUCCUCUAGCCACUAGAAUCCCAUCUAGUACAACUCUGAUAUUAGACUCCAAAUCAAGCAGGGGUUGUACGAUGCUAUGAUCCUUAAUGAUGCCUCCACCACUCGUAAAUUCAUUCUUGAUGCAUCCAUUAGUGUUGAUCUUGUACGAUCUUACUGAUGGAGUGUGCCAAACAACCAUCAUAGGUGGUGGUGGGGUGGGGAGAGUCAUAGAGAUGCCAAAGAGUGGUAUAAUUUCCAAGUCUCCUCGCCAAUACACAGCUCUAAAUAGUCCUCCCAUAUGAAGAAAACAAUGAUAGCGCGAAUGUGUCUACUGCAAACGUACUUUUCAGAAUACCUCUAUCUCUAAAACCUCUCUCCUGAUCUCAUAGGUAUCUAAAAAAUGUUCCCAAAGUUGUGCCAUACCCGAUCGGAGAUGCUACUGCUAGUGAAGAUGUGACAUAUGGUUUCAAUCUCAGCAUAGCAUCGACAUCGAGAAGCUAACUGACACCCAAUCCUCCUCUGAAUAACCACAUCUACUAAAAUGAUAUCCUACCCUAAUCUCCAGUAGAAAAAUGAAACAGUGGUAGGCAAUAUAGAGCUCGCCAAUAAUCAACAAGAGUCUGGUAGGCAAUAUGGAGCUCCACGAACUAGAUACCAUGCUGAUUUGGUAGCAAAGCUAGUAUUUUUUAUGUAACCUCCAAACAAUACGAUCUGGGUAUCAGCACAUAAAGGUAUCGCCCCUACCUAUUUUGCUAUAUGAGAUGGAAGGACCUGUAAUAAUCAUCCAAAAUCCUACACCCUUUCAGAUGUUUGUUGCCUGUGUGGGAAUAGGGAUGCCAAUGUGGACUCUUCCAUCCAAAAAUCAUGCCAGAAGAAAACUUGACCAGCUCCAAGAUGCCAAGCAACGUGUGGCUCUGUCCGUGGUCCUACUGAUUUCAGCCUUGUCCAAGUGAGAGAGGCUGCUCAAGGAACUGCUGCAAGUGAAGGGUGUGUCCCCAUGCAAUACUUGCCCAGUAAAAAUUGGGCCCAUAUCAAUCUCUGAGAGCAGGAUAGCCACCAUAGCUUCAUGAAGAAGGCAUCCACCACAACUUGCAAUCUCCUGAAGCCUAGACCACCCUUAUUAGUAGUGUGGUUUUCCUUCUAACUUCUCCAAUGUAACCAUCGCACCUGAUCCUUAGAAUCCUGCAAAGACGCUUUCAAGUUUUGAUGUGAACCUAUGUAGCAACGAGAGCUACAAAACCCACACAAGAUAGAAACGAAUCCCAAGAAUGCAAAAGAAUAGAAGGUUUUGGAUUAAACGCGUGAACAAUAAAUUAAGCAACCAAAGGUAUAUUAAACUACAAACCUCUUAACUACACAGUGAACAAAUCUUACCCAGGAUUGUGAACACUAUAAAAGAAACUCAAUUUCUUGAUAAGUUCAAUUUCUUGCAGCAUAAAGCCUAGGGGAAAAAUUCUCAAUUCAAUUCAUCAUAAAAGUCUUGGUUGUUACAAUGAAAAAAAUAAGAAACCUAUUUAUACUAACCCUAGAAUAAUGUUAAAAAAUGAAAUAUAUCUUCUAAAGAUUACGAAGAUUGCAUAAAAUUGGAAUUCUAACAUAAAUAGGUAACUCGUGAAAAAAGGAAACUUUGCAUCUCGAAAUACACCAUAUGAUUGCAUAGUAUAAUCCAAUGCAGCAGCGUAGUUCAUUUGAAAUCCUUCAAUUUGGUCUCGGGAAUGGUCUAUGCAGUCACAUGCCUUUUAUACUAUGCAGUCGCAUGCUGUUAAAUUUGAAACCUCAUUUUUCUUGUACAAAAUUUUGUGAAGAUUUCGAAUUGUACUCAUGGGCGAAAUUUCGACACCUGAGCUGAAAGUUAUGCCUGUUUUGAUCUAUGUUGUUCAUUUUUCCAUCAUUUUUCCAUAUAUCUUCCAAAACAUUGAAUCUAGCAGACCAAACAUGAUUCCACCUUCAAGACCGAGAUAUAAGUUGUUAUUUGGCUUGUUAACUUCAACAUUUUGUACUCCAUAGCUCAAUCAAGUAGUUGGAUUACUUUAUUGGCUCUUUGAGGCCUCGAACUUAGCUCGAUUCUUGGUCUUAGCUUCUUAUCAACAUGCGUCGAGUCCUUAAGCUUCUUAAUAAUUUGACCCCGCUCCUGGAUCACAUCAAGAUUCUUCAGAAUAGCCUUAGGAGACUGCAUGAUCUAAAGAAAAUGUAGUGGUAUGGAAGAAACAAUCGACCUCGACAAGGUAAUGCGACCCUCAGGUGAUAGUAAUCGUGAAGCACGGCUUGAGAUCCUGUCCUUGACCCUCUGAAUAAGGUCAUCAUAAAUGAAGCUCAUCUUGAUCCCCUUAAAUAAAGGUAUCCCUAGA
rnacentral:lncRNA from 1 species